GUGCCCGUAGCUCAAUUGGAUAGAGCACCAACCUUCUAAGUUGGGGGUUACAGGUUCGAACCCUGUCGGGUGCG
rnacentral:tRNA from 2 species